rnacentral:piRNA from 1 species
UCAGCCUUAACUUCUAUGUUACUCAUAUCC